GAAACGCCAACGACACAAGGGCACACACAAUCGCCGUGAUACAUGCGCCGUGCCCCGGGUUCAAGACGGUCAGGUCUGCAGAAAUGUAUUCUGUAAAAUUACUGCCCUAUUUUUCUAUUCAUUAUAACAUAUGUAUUUGCGGAGCAAAAAGGCAAGCCUGGAAAUCGCAACACUAUAAGUUGCAAUGCAACGGCAAGAACGUGCGCCUAUCCUUACGGUUGUUUUUGCAAAUGGGACAUGUUUGGCGGAGAGGAGAAGGCCGAUUGGUUCCACUACGAUUACCGCAGUAGGCUUUGUCAACCUAAAGCCAUAGUCGCCAAUUGCAACGGAUUCAGUACCAGGUCUGAAUGCACUACACGCUGCACAAGUGCGAUAUCUCCUGACGCGCAAAGCGAUGGCUGGACUGCAACUAUCAAUGGUUCCACUUAUUCAAUGACUGCAGACUAAACCUCGC